UAAAGUGGCGAACGGGUGAGUAACACGUUGGUGACCUGCCCCGAGGCGAGGGAUAACUCCUUGAAAGAGGAGCUAAUACCUCAGAUGUGUGGACUGUUAGAGGGUCCAGACUAAAGCUCAGGCGGCUCGGGAGGGGCCUGCGGGCUAUCAGCUAGUUGGUGGGGUAAGAGCCUACCAAGGCGAAGACGGCUAGGGGGCGUGAGAGCGUGACCCCCCACAAGGGAACUGAGAAACGGUCCCUACUCCUACGGGAGGCAGCAGUGAGGAAUAUUGAGCAAUGGGCGCAAGCCUGACUCAGCAACGCCGCGUGGAUGAAGAAGGCCUUCGGGUUGUAAAAUCCUUUUCUGAGGGACGAUAAUGACGGUACCUCAGGAAUAAGUUCCGGCUAACUACGUGCCAGCAGCCGCGGUAAAACGUAGGGGACAAGCGUUAUCCGGAUUUACUGGGCGUAAAGCGCCCGUAGGCGGCUUAACAAGUUGGAUGUGAAAGCUCCCGGCUUAACUGGGAGAGGUCAUUCAAAA
rnacentral:rRNA from 1 species